UAGACAAAUAUUAAACAAAUUGAGAAUUAGCGUUUUGUGAAUUAGUUGAGUAUGCAGGUACCCCCGAUAUUCUAUGCUCUCUCAAAUCACACCACCAAGAUUGAUGUCAUGGCAAAAGAGCUAUCUUCAAAUUUCCCAACAUUACCCGACCCGAAUCGCGCUCCCAUCCAUUACAUUUGCACAAGUCACAACGGUCAUCUUCUUCUUCCUCAAAGCUUCAAUUCGAAACCCUAGCAAGUUGUGGCAGGCAAUCUUCUUCUUCCUCAUGAUGGUCAAUCCGAAACCCUAGCAACUGGAAAUUGCUUCGCAGCCUAAUCAAUUGUAAAUUGAAAUCGAAAAUGUCUACUUCAACUACACAAUCUAACGAUGGUGAAGAUUUGAGGUAUAAGAAUAUAAUUUGUGGUUGUGGGAAAAUAGCUUCUAUCAAAGUAACAAAGUCCAACCAUAAUAACAAUAAGGGGAAGCUAUACUAUGUCUGUACCACCAGAACAUGUACUUUAUGGUCAUGGUAUAAACCCUUUGAUCUCUUGUUACUACAGAUCUAAUAUGUAUAUGAUUUGAGAUAUCUGCGCAGAUUUUCGUUAUCAUUUCUAUGGGUCGAAAGAACCAGAUGGAGGUGAGUUACCAUAUUGGCCAGGAGGGGUCGCUUGCCAUCCACAUUUUACGCACAGAACAUUUUAGUUCCAGUGAUCUGGUAUUGUAGGUGAUUUGAUUAACAUGAAUUUCAAAUUCCAAAUUACUACAGUCACUUGGAUCCAUUAAGCUCUUUCUAACAGUGAUGAUGUUUCAUUUGUCACCUGUGUUGAUUGAGCUGUAAAUAUUAUAUCAUUAACUGGAAAAAUUACAUUCCAACAUUCCAACAUUCCUCCAUCAUAUUAGACAAGAUGGGUGUAACACAAACAAAUGUGAUAAGUCAAAAGUUUUUUUUUUUAGGGUUUCAGUUAAUAUUAUCUAAUUCACAAUCCAAUAAUGCUUUAAGCUAAUUGUACUUGGUCUAUAUUUACACAAUCUCUUUCUAAAAAUGUUUUAUUCUCGAAAACAGGAAACAUGCAACAAACAUGGCAAUGUCACAGAUUACACUAGCAAGAAAAUGGAGUUGCAACAGCAAGGAGAGGUAUUCCUCUGCGGAUUGUAACACCACAGCAUUCAGUCAAGUCCAGAUGUUCUACCUUGGCUCCACCAGGCAAUGCCCAAAUGAACUUGUGCAUGAGAUUUGAUAACACAAACUCAUUGGUGGCCAUUGCGAAGGAGGUCCCUGGGAAGCCCCUCCUGCCAGCUCCAAAUGGAAUCAAUUCAAAGUCAUGCCUCUGAAAUCUAUAGAAGAAUUCAAGAACCACUCAGGCUGAAACUCUUCAGGUUCAAUCCAUGACAUGGGGUCCUUUCCGAUUGCCCAAGCAUUGAUAAUAACCAUUGUUCUGGCUGGAAUGUCAUAGCCCAUUACUCUGACAUCUUCGCUCACUUCAUGUCCGUGUAAUGCGAUAGGAGGAUGCAAACGAACAGUUUCUUUGACCACUGCUUUAAGGCAGUGCAUUUCCUCCAGAUCAUCUGCUGUUAUGUGUGGUUUGCCUAUAAGAAUUUCUCUGACUUCAUUUUGCACAUUAUUAAUGACUCUCGGGUGUCUUAAUAGCUCUGUCAUUGCCCAUUCUAGGACUCUGGAAGUGGUAUCAGUUCCAGCAACAAAGAUGUCCUACAAGAAUCAGAAGAUAAAACAAACUGAGAUGGGGUUUGAGAAAAGAAGGGGCGGGCAACGACCCACCGUAAAUUAAGACUGGACUAGAAUUCUUAUUUUGUUAUCUUUUGUAUAGAAACAAUGAUCAUGUACCUUUUAUAAAAAUUAAGUAUAACUCGUAUAGUAUUGUAAUGGUAGAAAUUUGUGUAAAUAAAAAUAUUUCAUGAAUUGUAACUUAAUUAAAGUGAUUCCUUGUUUGGAUGAGAUGGAGGAAUGAAACAUUUUAUAUGUAUAUGUUGAUUUUGGGGAUGUUGUAUAUUAUUGUAUUGUGCGUCGGGACAUGAUAGGUUAGUUUUAAGGCCCAGUGAGGCCAUUGCAUUAUUUUUUGUAUUUCAAUAUGUUGUAGGACUUUUUCUGCGGAGGUCAUGCCGAAAUUUUAUAUAUUUAUCAUUAUUAUUUUGGUAUCCUUUUGGGGUGUUACAAAUUCGGUAUCAGAGCGAUGGUUCGAAAACCAUUAGGACGACGGGUAGAGGCCUACCUAGGAUUAUGGGAAAGGUGGAUUGAAUUAUUUAUGUGCUUAUGUGUUAAAGUGCUUAUUAUUUGAGAGCCUGCUUAUUUGAUUAAGUGCUUAUGUGUUUACGGUUUUAAAAAGGCAUGUUUAUUUGCUAAGUGUUCACAUGCUUAUGUGUUUAAUUACUAAAAUAUGUGUUAUAUGGCCAUGACGAUGAAAUGUGUAAAUAGUUGAAAAUAUAUUAAUUAUGAUAUGAUCACAAGUGUGAUUUAGGUGGUAACGACAAAUGGUAGGCACGGUGUGUGCAGUUUUAUUUUAAAUGUUAAUGUGACAAGUAGUAAGCACGGUAGGUGCAAGCAUGUCUCUUAUGUAUUGUGACGGUUAUUUAGGCAUGCUUAAGCAAAUAUAUAAGAAAAAUAAAAAUAAUAAUAAUAAUAAUAAAAUGAAUGAAAGACGGGGUGUUUAAUUUUUUUUUUAUGAUGGGACACAAUUAUAUCUUAGUAUGGAGUACGGUUAUUAUGUAUGUGUGUUCACGUGUGUAUAUUCGGUUGGGUACGGGAUGGUUGCUAGUACGGUAGAGUACUUGUUGCGGCAUUAAUGGUUGUGUGAGUUUUGACCUGAGUAGGCGAGGAGAUCGGUUGCUCAAGAGUUGUUGGGUGUCGGUUUUUAGCGAACUAAUGACGUAGGUCUUUAGCUCGUGGAUCGAGCUAUUCGAUGCAUGGUUGCUUCAUUUUUCUUCUUGUUUUUGGGGUGUAGUGCUUGGGGCAUAGCACAGUGUGAUGUCUGGGGUGAGACGUACAAGUUUCAGGUGUUAGUGUAUGGGUUUUUGUGAUUGUGGAGGUCAGGUGUGCACUGUGGGGCAGAGGUAUGACCUUAGGGGGUUAGCAUUUGUGACUUGGGUCCCGGUUUGGUACUAAGGUUCUCUUCGAGUCGGUUUGUGGUGAGUGUGAGGUUGUUUGAGUCAUGAGUGUAGUCUAUGGAUUGUAAAUGUGUAUUUCGAGCAUUUUGGAACGGCUUAAGGAAGUGUGUUGGUUUUGACUGUCAUGGGAACUUGUUGGAUUCUAUAGGUCUAUGGUGAUUUAGGACCGGUUGCCGGAUGUAGAUUAUUUCAUGGUCUUAUAGGAGUCUGUUUUAGAGACUGGUUUGUCGAGGAGUGAUUCACAUUUCGAAGAGUUAUAGGAGUGUGUUGCGGGUAAUUGACUCUCGGUGAGUUGAUUGUAUGGCUCGGUGGAUGAGCAGGGUUAUUGGUUGGCAUGGUUAUUGAGAGAGUCUUGAAGUGGCGUAUAGUGAUCAGUUUUAGCUGAGUAAUGCAGGGUUACACGAUGAAGCAGGUAGUAUGGGGUCAUUAGAGUGUUUGGUUGUUUGCGGAUGAAGUGAUAGCUGGUGAGUAUUGUGUUAUCAAAUGAAUUGUGUUUUAGAAUUUGAAAGCUAUGGAUUAGGGUUGUAUUUUAGAUUACGUCUGGAGUAUCAGGAGAUAGUGCUUGUUGUUUGAGGAUUCGAAGAGAUAGACUAAUGAUUGGAGUGAUUGGGGCGAGGUUGAUCUUGUAGGUUAGUUGGUAGCCCCAUUUGAUUUUCAUCAAGGCCAAGGAUGUGUUUAAGGAACGGGAAUGAGGAAAAGUAACGAUGUUGAACUUAGGGUAUGAAGUUUUCUUGUUUGGAUGCGUAGAUCGCUCAGAAAGAGUGGUUUGAUGUUGUCGGUUAAGUGUUAAUGAUUGAUGGCAUCAUUGAUGGUAUUGAUGUGACAAUUGGGUGUUGAGCAUUUUGAGAUUUGUGCUCAUUUUGUUUUGAGGGUUUGUAGGCAUGACAUUGCCGUAUGAAGGUUCUUUUCUAAUGGUAAAUAGUGGUCGUUAUGGGAAGUAUCGAAAGUAAUGUUUAUUUUCUUGUUACGAUGGUGUUGUCCUAAGGAUGUUUGAGGAAGAACCACUUGGUAGUUGCUUGAUGGUCUGGUGAGAUGAGAGGUACGAGUUGUCCUUCAGGAAGAAUGGUAAUAGAGGUGUUAUAGUGAGAUGUUUAGUGUUGAUGAGUAGGACGGUUUAAGGUUUGAACCGAAUGUGGUUUAAGGAUUAUGAAUUGUUUGUUGUAUGUUGUCAGGUAGGUGAUGGGGUUGUGCGCCAGUUGAGACGAUUGUGGUCGGCUUAGUCUUUAGAGUCAGUAAGGACGAUGUUGCCAUAUAGACACUUUUUUUCUUGUGGCGAGUAGUGGGUUGUUGUGACUAAGGUCACGGGUUUUGUGUGCACGGUGUUCGAGGUAGCGUCGCCUUGAAAGGUGAAAGUGGAAUGGGUGGUAAAGUGUCAUUUUACGGCUUAGAGGUUGUCAUUUGAGAGUGACGGUUUCUAGAUGGAACGGGACGCGGUGUCUGAAGGGCUAUGUUUGUUUUUAGUGUUUGUGUGUCGUGAGCGUUGGUACUCUUGUCUGGUUGGUUUUGGUUAGCAAGGGUAUCGCGGUGUGUCGUAUGCGAGGUUUCUGUGUUGAUAGUGUAUGAUGAACCGUUAGUGGCAAGGUCGCCUAGAAUUGAGUUCGUAGUUCCGUAUGGGUAUCCGUUUGGUUCUUCUCUUUGUGUGUAAGGAGUUUAGUUCACCUCAGGUGAGAUUGGGUGUCCAUGGUUGGACAAUUGGUGUGUAGCGUGUGACAAGGUGUCGGGUGCAUUUAGGUGCAAGUCGUCAGUCUCUUGUGAGAGUGGGGUUUGUUACCUUUCCGUUUGUUCUGUUUGUUCUAGUCCUAGCAAGGACGUCGUUUGUCGUGAGCCUUGUUCUCCAUUUAGUAAUGGUGCGCGUCCGUGGGUGGACGGACCUGUGUGUGGUUUGUUAUGUUGUUUGAUUUCAUUGGUAAAGGUUUGGUUGGUUUGGUCGACUCACUCAUACGAAGGGAGAUAAAGUCAUUGGUUCUUUGUAGUGCUUGUUUUGAGAGUGGUUUGACGACACGAGUUGCCGAAUAGGGUGGCGUUUUCAGUGUCAGGUUCCAUCAGUGAUGGCCAGGGGUGUGUUGUGAACUGUAAGUUCGAGGAGGUGAUGUGAUGUGAGUCAUGUACUCAGAUGUUUUUAUAGGCGUUUAAUUCGAGCAAUGUCUCGAGGACAAUUGUUGGUGUUGUCUUAGAAUUACGUGAUUAGAGAAGGUGAAUAUGUGAUUCUAUUGAGGAAUAAUAGGAAUGAUUGGCUUUGGUUUUGAAGUUUUAGGUAUAAGACGGUCGUAUUUUGUGUUUUGAAUAGGUACGAAUUAAAUUGAAUGAUGACAUGGGGUUGUUUACUUGGUAUGGGUGUUUAGAGAAAAUGAGAGAUCUUAUAUACUGGUUGAUGAUUGUGACGUUUAGUGCUGUUUUGUUUUUAGCUUGUUACGGGUUGUAUGAUUGAGGUAUGAUUGGGACUUUUAGAGUAGGUAUGUGACUGUAUAGCUAUUAAGGAUUACGUAGCACGAUGGAUUGAUAGUGAAUGGAUCUCAUUGUUGUUUUGUGGACUGUGUGAGAUUGUAUUUGAGGUUUGGACCUGAGGACAGGAACGACAUCUGUGCCGAGAUCGGAUUGAGGAUGAGAAUGGCCUGGCCAACCAUUUCUCCUGAAUCAGUCCCUCUUUAGCAUGAUGUCUGGUCAAAGGUCCAUGAUUAUUUUAGUUUGUUAGGAACAAUGAGAGUACAGUGUUCCGCGAUGUGUCGAUGUGACAGGGUGGAUUCAGAUGGUUUGUCUCGGGUGAUGAGGUGUGCUAGGUAGGACUAAGCGUCCGAUAAAAGGGUUUGUGGUACAAUAAUUGAUUAUUGAGAAUUUCGUUUUGAGGAUUUGUGUUUAGGAUACCGGAUAAUAUGUUUUAUUGUUCUAGUGAUUCAUGUUUAUACAGUUGUUUGGAGAAUUAUUGUUAGGUCAUCUUUAGGUUGUUAAGUGUAAUGAUUACUAAAUGUUGCGGUUGGUGGUCGCUUGUACCAAUAUAUGAUGGUGUAGCUGUGUGUUGGAUGGCGAGUAUUGGUUUAACAGAGAUGUGUGGAUUUGAGUUUGAGCUUAAUUGUAUGAUGGAUGGGGUUCCUUGUCUGGGAUUUUGUGUGUCCUUUAAAGGAUUAGUUGAGAUAGGAUGUUGUCAUGUUCAAGGGUCCUGUGACCGUUCUUCUUUCGAGUUCCGAAGUCUUUUGUAGCAGCGUACAGUGGACCGAUGUCCGUUUUGAGUCGGGUAUAGUGUAGGGCGUACCAGAUGGUCUGGUGUUAUGAUGUUGUGAGUGAUGAGUACCCUCAUAGGGUGGUGAGCAUGGGGUUUUUCUAAUGUCAGUGUGUGAUUGCCUAUUGACAUCGGGUGUCAAAGGUAAUAAGGUUGUUGAGUUCUUAGUCUCGGGGUUUUGUGAAGUUUCUUGGGAAGGUAUGCGGCUAUGAGUCUCCUUCUUUAAGGAGGGUAGAUUUCGAGGACGAAAUCUUUUAAGGAGGGUAGAAUGUAAUGUUUAUAAAUUGUGUAUAUAUUUGUGGUGCAAAUAAAAGGAAAAAGGUGGGAUUAUUGGAAGUGGUGGGACCCACCACUAACCCAUUUGGUGGCCAAAAGACCACAUUUGGUCUCAUUUUCUUUGCUCUUUCCUGUAAGCUCUCCCUUUCUUCUUCUCUUUCUCAUUUUUCUUUUUUCUUUUCUUCACAUAUUCAAUCCUUGAAUUCUUCCUCAAUUUUGAGAAUUUUUGGGUGCUGUUUGCGGCAAAACGGAGAGUGCGGCGAGAUCUACAAGUGGGUGUAAGCAAUUUCAGCAUUUGUGCAUUCUAGGGAUUUCGAAUUUGAGACCCAUUUUGAGGGUUUUUUUACAAAUUUGAUGUAGGGGUGUUCUAAUUUAUAUUUUCUUUGGCUUUAGUGAAAUUUCCCUCUGGAUUUGCCCCUAAGCAUGUUUAAUUUGGUUAUUCAAUUCAUGCAUUUAAGGUUCUAUGUGAUUAUGUGGAUUAUAUGAAUAUUAGUUCAAUUACAUGUUUCUUGUGAUGAUAUGAUGAAAAGUAUAUUAAAUUCGUGCCAUGGUAUAUUCUAUAUGAUGAAUUGUUUAUUUGAAAGCAUGAUGUAUAAGUAUGUGGUUAUUACUCGGUAACUAAUGCGAAUUUUCAUUGUUGGCAUAAUAAUUAUGAAGCAUGAGGCAUUCAUGUAUUCAUUAAGAAAGGAAAAAGGGGGAAAAACGUUUUAAAACAAGUGAAAUUGUUUUGGGAAAUUUUUUUCCUAAAAAUGUUUGCAAAAACCGGACGCCUAGGAGGCGCCUAGUGGUCCGCGAUGUUAGUGUAAUCUAGAAGGGAGUGUGGUUGAGUUAACUAGGCUGGAUGCGACGUCUUGGAAGUGCCUUGUGGUCGUGGAUAGUUAAUCAAUCCUCCUUUCGUGACGCCUUGGAAGUGCCUUAGGUUGAAUUACACUAACGGUUUGGAAGUUGAAACGGAAUUGUUUCAGAAAUGGGGGGGAGGGGGGGGGGGG